rnacentral:hammerhead_ribozyme from 1 species
AUCCGGCUGACGAGUUCCAAAUAGGACGAAACACGCGUCCUGGAU